AUACGUAGGGUGCAAGCGUUAAUCGGAAUUACUGGGCGGAAAGCGUGCGCAGGCGGUUUUUUAAGGACGAGGUGAAAGCCCCCGGCUCAACCUGGGAACCGCCUUUGUGACCGCAAGGGUAGAGGACGACAGAGGGGGGUGGGAGUCCGCGUGUAGAAGUUAACUGCGUAGAUAUUCGGAGGAACACCGAUGGCGAAGGCAAUUCCCUGGGCCUGUACUGACGCUCAUGCACGAAAGCGUGGGGAGCAAACAGGAUUAGAUACCCUGGUAGUCCACGCCCUAAACGAUGUCAACUGGUUGUUGGGUCUUCAUUGACUCAGUAACGAAGCUAACGCGUGAAGUUGACCGCCUGGGGAGUACGGCCGCAAGGUUGAAACUCAAAUGAAUUGGCGGGG
rnacentral:rRNA from 1 species